CAGUAGCCGCGGGAAUACGUAGGUGGCAAGCGUUGUCCGGAAUUAUUGGGCGUAAAGGGCUCGCAGGCGGUUUCUUAAGUCUGAUGUGAAAGCCCCCGGCUCAACCGGGGAGGGUCAUUGGAAACUGGGAAACUUGAGUGCAGAAGAGGAGAGUGGAAUUCCACGUGUAGCGGUGAAAUGCGUAGAGAUGUGGAGGAACACCAGUGGCGAGGGCGACUCUCUGGUCUGUAACUGACGCUGAGGAGCGAAAGCGUGGGGAGCGAACAGGAUUAGAUACCCGCGUAGUCCCUGUCUCUUAUAC
rnacentral:rRNA from 1 species